UAGCAUCACUACUUUCAUUAUUGAUGAAGAUGCCAUCAUCAAAAUACAUUUACUAUAUUUUGAAUAAUUUGCAAUGAAUUAUCAGAUCCACUAUAUUACAAAUGCACAUCACAGUAAGUAUUUUAUUCACAUCGCAUCACAUUAUAUACAUAAAUUGUGAGCCAAAUCACAUUAUGAAACGAAAGAAAAAUCCUAUUAUAUAUUCUAUCUCUAAGCCAAAACAUCCUCCAAUUAGAAAUGACAAUCAAAAUAACACCGACUCAAGUUUGGCUCUUCUUCACAGCUUCCAAUUCUUCUUGAUGCUUCCUUUGCAUCUCUUCAAAUGCUCUGUCUUGUGCUUCAAGUCUCACGGCUAACUCCCCCCAAUGCCUAUAAACUGAGGAACCACAACAGCAUGUUGCAUCUUAAUGAGAUGAAAACAUACAAGAUAAAAACGUAUAACAGUACCACUAAGAAGCACACAAUCUAUCAAAUUAUGAAUUUGAAUACAUUAUUAACUAGAUUUGUAGGUAUGCAGAUGGGCUAAUAAAACGGUAUAUUGGUUUGGCAAAACAAGAAGACACAAACUUGUAUAAAAAUUGUCUGUCAGAAAAAUUUACAUCGAUCCCUGCUGCAGUUUAAACUAGUGUGCUACUUAAAGUUUUAAGUAGCAUGUGAAUGACUAGUGAGUCCACUAGGGAAACAUAUGACAAUGAACUAUAGUAAUAUACUGAACAUAUUUCAUAAUUAGUUGCAUAAGUAUAGUUGUUUGAUGCUUUGGUUACUACAAAAGUUUAGAUCAGCACAUCACUACAAAAACAGAUCCGUAAUGUACUAAAAAAUCGCAGACCAAAACACAAAAAUGUUUCUUUAGUAAGGAGUGACAUCCAUUCAAUAUAUUGAACAAUCUCAGAAUAAUGCAAUAUCUAGAGGUCGGCACCCAACAACUACAGGCCACAUUAUUCCUAUUAACUAUGUGUUUUCUCAUCUCUGAAUUGAUUCAGACAUGCUAUGAAUUUGGCCGUUCAUCACCUUAUGUACAAGUACGUGCCAUAAGCAACUAGUACUAGUACUGUCUACACUAUUUUAAUCAAUUGUGUGCUUACUCACCUUCCCCAGCAGCUACAGCUAAUUGUGUACUUGCACUGCAGUUGUACGAUGCUUCCUCAAUCUAAAUAUAACAAAUAAAAAUACAAGUUAUGCACAAAGGAAGGACACGAUGAGCUUAAAUGUUAGGCAUACACAACCAGGUAAGGAAUUGUCAAGUACUGGACUGUAAAAAAACAGAAAGUGGAGAAGCAACAAGCAAGUAGUACAAAGUUUAAGCUUCAGACUUUACCAACAUAGCAAGAUCGAUAAGAUUAUCUUGAUAUUGCAAACCCAGUCCUGCUACCUACGGUGAGCAGUCGAUUAAUGCGCCUGCGUUAUAGGGGAAUAAAACAUAAGAGAAACAAUAUACUGACAAGAAAAAAUAUAUGGAGAAAAAAUAUUACAGAAUAAACAUAAUCAUUUUCUCUUCCACCGAGCAGUAUUAGCAUCUCAAUGAACCUUUUAGUAUAUAGAUUUUUCAGCAGCUAGGAACUACGGUAUGGCCCAUGAUACAAGCCCUCGACAUAUCUUUACCUUGUUAAAUGUUAUCACAGAAUAUUGACUUCUUGUGCAUGCAUAGUAACUAAUAAAAGGCUAUUCCUAGUACAGUUUCACUGUUAAUAUUCUGAACAUAGAGUCUAGUCACAUAUUAGAUGUUCUUGAGCAUGCUGGAGAUUGCAUAAUCUUGCAGCUUAAAGGGGAAACUUGAGUUGAAAUUAUUCAUUGUAGAAAUUUAAGUUCGGAACAUACCUUUGAUAAGAGCAAAGGACAUUGAUCUUACUCCUGAUCUAGAUGAACUGCAACUAGGAAAAGGAGAUCUCAAAUAGGUCGUUAGAAGACUCAAAUUCCAGAUCACAAAUCUUACAUUGGGAAAUUAUGGAAGAAAAAGGAAGCAGCGAAAUAUUACCCUCGAGUAGUUGAAGGGGAGCAGAUCUAACGGUG
rnacentral:lncRNA from 1 species